AGAAUGUGCGGGAGGUAUAGCCUAGGUGGGAGCCCUGUGGCGCCGCUGGAAAACCACCACUCUCGCGCUACUUUGU
rnacentral:rRNA from 1 species